GGGGAGAGGAAAGUAGGAGGAAGGGUGCAAGUGAGGGAGGAAAGAGGAGAAAGGAAGGAAGGAAGAGGAGAUGAGAGGAGUUAAGCACGAAAAGGGGGAGGAAAACAUUAUUCAGGAGAGGAGAAGGAGGGAGAAAGGAGAAAGAAUAGAAAACUUGCAGGGAGCACAUGGGAGGAAGGGGGGAGAAAAGAGGAGAAAAGAAGAGAAGAAAGUAAAAUGAGAAAAGAAAGGACGCGAAAGGUGAAAGAGGAGAAAAUGGAUGACAGAAGAGAAGAGAAAGGAGGAGAAGAGAAAGAGGAGAAGAUUAAAGAAAGGAGGCAAAAGAGAAAGAAAAGAGAGGAGGAAGGCGAAAUUAACCUGAAGUCUCCUUGGAAAUUUCAGUGAGUCAGUGGCAAUAGGAGGAAAUUUCUGAAACAGGAGAGGAGGUCAACGGGGGAGAACAGAGGGGGAGUGUCAGCAUAAAGGGAGAGAGGGGGGAGGAGAGGAGGGAGGAGGNNNNNNNNNNNNNNNNNNNNCCUGCCACAGUCAAAGAUGCUUCGCCUCCUCGUCAGAACGUCUGCUCUCACCCUGCUCCUCAGCCUCCUCGUCUCCAUGGCGACGGCCGAGGGAGGCGUCACCACCUCCUGCAGGCAGGAGAUCCCCGCCGAGCUGAUCCGGGAGCUGUGGAGCCGGACCAGAGAGCUGAUCGGCACGCUGCCGAAAGAAGAAAACUUCUCCAGGCGAAUGAGACUGCUGCCGAGGUUUUGCACCAAAUGUCCUGAGCGUACGAUUGGCUGGCUGGAGAUGAGGGAACUGAUCGACAUCUACCAGAAGAGUGUGUUCAGUAGAGAGGUUGUCGAGAAGCUCCUCCCCCUUCACUACAACGACCUGCUGUACCGACUGCAACACACACUGCAUCACUGUGUGAGUACACACUGCAACACACACACACUGCAACACACACUGCAUCACUGUGUGAGUACACACUGCAACACACACUGCAACACACACUGCAUCACUGUGUGAGUACACACUGCAACACACACACUGCAUCACUGUGUGAGUACACACUGCAACACACACUGCAACACACACUGCAUCACUGUGUGAGUACACACUGCAACACACACACACUGCAACACACACUGCAACACACACUGUAAACACACACUGCAUCACUGUGUGAGUACACACUGCAACACACACUGCAACACACACUGCAUCACUGUGUGAGUACACACUGCAACACACACACACUGCAACACACACUGUAAACACACACUGCAACACACACUGCAUCACUGUGUGAGUACACACUGCAACACACACACUGCAACACACACUGCAUCACUGUGUGAGUACACACUGCAACACACACUGCAACACACACUGUAAACACACACUGCAACACACACUGCAUCACUGUGUGAGUACACACUGCAACACACUGCAACACACACACUGCAUCACUGUGUGAGUACACACUGCAACACACACACUGCAUCACUGUGUGAGUACACACUGCAACACACACACUGCAACACACACUGCAACACACACUGCAACACACACACUGCAUCACACACUGCAACACACACUGCAUCACUGUGUGAGUACACACUGCAACACACACUGCAUCACUGUGAGUACACACUGCAACACACACACUGCAACACACACUGCAACACACACUGCAUCACACACUGCAACACACACACUGCAUCACACACUGCAACACACACUGCAUCACUGUGAGUACACACUGCAACACACACACACACACACACUGCAACACACACUGCAUCACACACUGCAACACACACUGCAUCACACACUGCAUCACACACUGCAACACACACUGCAUCACUGUGUGAGUACACACUGCAACACACACUGCAUCACUGUGAGUACACACUNNNNNNNNNNNNNNNNNNNNUUCACACCUGGAUUUGGGGAUCCUCUGCCAUUCUUCCUUGCAGAUCCUCUCCAGUUCUGUCAGGUUGGAUGGUGAAUGUUGGUGGACAGCCAUUUUCAGAUCUCUCCAGAGAUGCUCAAUUGGGUUUAGGUCAGGGCUCUGGCUGGGCCGGUCAAGAAUGGUCACAGAGUUGUUCCGAGGCCACUCCAUUGUUAUUUUAGCUGUGUGCUUAGGGUUAUUGUCUUGUUGGAAGGUGAACCUUCGGCCCAGUCUGAGGUCCUGAGCACUCUGGAAGAGGUUUUCUUCCAGGAUAUCUCUGUACUUGGCCGCAUUCAUCUUUCCUUCAAUUGCAACCAGUCGUCCUGUCCCUGCAGCUGAAAAACAUCCCCAUAGCCUGAUGCUGCCACCACCAUGUUUCACUGUUGGGAUUGUAUUGGGCAGGUGAUGAGCAGUGCCUGGGUUUCCCCACAACAUACCGCUUAGAAUUAACGCCAAAAAGUUCAAUCUUGGUCUCAUCAGACCAGAGAAUCUUAUUUCUCAUAGUCUGGGAGUCCUUCAUGUGUUUUUUGGCAAACUCUAUGCAGGCUUUCAUAUGUCUUGCACUGAGGAGAGGCUUCCGUCGGGCCACUCUGCCAUAAAGCCCCGACUGGUGCAGGGCUGCAGUGAUAGUUGACUUUGUGGAACUUUCUCCCAUCUCCCUACUGCAUCUCUGGAGCUCAGCCACAGUGAUCUUUGGGUUCUUCUUUACCUCUCUCACCAAGGCUCUUCUCCCACGAUUGCUCAGUUUGGCUGGACGGCCAGGUCUAGGAAGAGUUCUGGUCGUCCCAAACUUCUUCCAUUUAAGGAUUAUGGAGGCCACUGUGCUCUUAGGAACCUUGAGUGCUGCAGAAAUUCUUUUGUAACCUUGGCCAGAUCUGUGCCUUGCCACAAUUCAGUCUCUGAGCUCCUUGGGCAGUUCCUUCGACCUCAUGAUUCUCAUUUGCUCUGACAUGCACUGUGAGCUGUAAGGUCUUAUAUAGACAUGUGUGUGCCUUUCCUAAUCAAGUCCAAUCAGUUUAAUUAAACACAGCUAGACUCCAAUGAAGGAGCAGGACCAUCUCAAGGAGGAUCAGAAGAAAUGGACAGCAUGUGAGUUAAAUAUGAGUGUCACAGCAAAGGGUCUGAAUACUUAUGACCAGAUGGGGUGCUGAGUGUACAUUAAUGAGAAAUAAAAUGAACUUUUUUGAUUUUAAUGGCUGCAAUGAAACAAAGAGUGAAAAUUUUAAAGGGGUCUGAAUACUUUCCGUACCCACUGUAACUGCAUGUGUCCUCACACUUCUGCCAUAUAAAGUUUAUUACACUUUUACAUGAAUUUACAUACAUUCUACCUGCAUCCAAAUAACAUGUAUUUCAUUCUAUUGAAUAAAUAAAAUAAAAAAAAACAUUUCUUCAGCAUUUCUUGUAACAUUUUGUUUCAAUAUCAGUUGGCUGCGUAGUCACGUUCAUGUAUGUUACACACACACACACACACACACACAGACACAGACACACACACACACACACACACACACACAUCCAUGAUUAGUAAGGAGCUAAAAUGUGAUGGUGGGAUAGUAAAUGAAGGUCAGAUAAAUGGUUUAAAAACACUGCAAUGGUGCCUCCAAAC
rnacentral:lncRNA from 15 species